ACGAGCAGCAAGUGAAGAAACAAAGAGUUCGACUAGCGACCCUACCGCGCGCCGAGUCUGUUCCGGUUGAGUUCGAAACUAGUCAGUCAAUCCCGAUAAAUACGCGGUCAUUUAUUUACAAAUCCUUUUGGAUGGGAAGUUAUCAUAAGACUUUCCGAACUAGGGCUGGGAAUGAGGGGCCUCCGCCACGAGGACACUGCGGUGCGUAGCCCACGCUCGCCAGAUCACCACCCUAUGCUCCGCUGAUCCUCACAGUGGAAACACCCGCCUGAGUUCUCCCGAAACCGCCGUUUCCUGUUUAUCAGUCUUCAUUUACCUAAUCUUACACUCAUUUUUUUAUGUUUAUGAUUAUUUUGGAUGUACACAUAUCCCGCUCAAAUCGUUCCAAGUGAAAAGCAGGCUAACUCUUGUAAAACAAAAUAAAUUACAUCUCAUAAAUACGUUUUAGUGCCCAUCGCCAUCGUAAUUCCCAUGACUGACGGAGAAUAGAAACUCUAUUGUAAUAUCUAAUAGCAAACGCAUUUCCAAGUACCUCUGAUAAUUUCAACAU